GAUGAAGAACGCAGCGAAAUGGGAUAAGUAAUGUGAAUUGCAGAAUUCAGUGAAUCAUCGAAUCUUUGAACGCACAUUGCGCCCGCUAGUAUUCUGGCGGGCAUGCCUGUCCGAGCGUCAUUUCAACCCUCAAGCCCCCGGGCUUGGUGUUGGGGAUCGGCGAGCCUCCGCGCCCGCCGUCCCCUAAAUCUAGUGGCGGUCUCGCUGUAGCUUCCUCUGCGUAGUAGCACACCUCGCACUGGGAAACAGCGCGGCCACGCCGUUAAACCCCCAACUUCUGAACGUUUGACCUCGGAUCAGGUAGGAAUACCCGCUGAACUUAAGCAUAUCAAUAAGCGGAGGA
rnacentral:misc_RNA from 1 species